GUGUGUGGUUGUAUGUGAAUGUGGUUGUGUGUGGUUUGCGUGUGGUAUGUGUGUGCUUGUGUGUGGUUUUGUGUGAAUGUGGUUGUGUGUGAGUGCCAUUGUGUAAGUGUGGUUGUAUGUGUGUGGUGGUGUGUGAUGUGUGAAUGUGGUUUGUGGGUGGUUGUGUGUGUGGUUGUGUGUGUCGUUGUGUAAGUGUGGUUGUAUGUGUGUGGUGGUGUGUGAUGUGUGAAUGUGGUUUGUGGGUGGUUGUGUGUGUCGUUGUGUAAGUGUGGUUGUAUGUGUGGUGUGUGCGGUGUGUGAAUGUGGUUGUGUGUGUGUCGGGUGUGUGAGUGUCAUUGUGUACGUGCGGUUGUGUGUGUGUGGUGCUGUGUGUGUACCAGCUGUGACCGCGGCCGCUUCCGCUGGCCGGCACCCCUCUUUCCUGACUGUCCUUUCUCCAGAAGCAAACGAGGUGAAGCAGUUGUUUUUCCAGUUCAACAGCGGAGUGCUCUAAUGAAGUCGUCUUUAAAAGGGAAAGGAGGACGAUCCGCGUCUCCGCGGUUCAGGGCGGCCCGAGCCCUCCCCAGUUCAUCAAAACCGGAGCUCAAAUCCAGUCCCUGACCCCCUUCCCCACCUCUGCUGACAGGCAAGGCGCCCCAGAAACCCUCGUUUCAAGUCCCAGCUUCUCCCGGGGACCCCUGGCUUUCCUGCAGCCCGCUCUGCCCAGCCCUGCUCCCAGUCACCAAGGGGCUUGUCUGGCCACAGGAAGCCCCCUUCAGAAGCUUCUUCCGGUCCUGCCUCCUCCCAGGACACGCAGGCCCCCAGCCCUGCUGCCCCUCCCCACGGGUCCCCCGAGCCCCGCAGCUGCUCUGAGCUUUAUCUGUCUUCACUGACCCCGCUCAGCACAGUUCCGGCAGCUUCCGCCUGGCCCGUGUCUGUUCCCCAUCAAAGGCCCCACUGGAGCGCCAGGUCUUCAGCAGCACAGAUAACAGAGAUGGAUGGAGCAGGAAGCUCUGCGCUGGGGCUGGGCACCCUGCCCCCACCCUGUGCAGGUCGUCGGUCCUGGAGCAGCAGCUAACACCACCGUUCACCAAGCACCAAUUCCAUGCCAGACACCUCUCCUCUACGGUCUCGGAUUCUGGUCACAGCUCCUGUGGGGGAAGUUUUCUCACUAUGUUGCCAAACAGGCCACAGAGGGAGGGCCAGCACUGUCGCCUAGUGGGUUAAGCAUCCGCCUGCAGCGCCAGCAUCCCAUAUGGCUGCUCCACUUCCCAUCCAGCUCCCUGCUCAUGGCCUGGGAAAGCCCAAGUGCUUGGGUCCCUGCACCCCUGUGGGAGACCCGGAAGAAGCCCCUGGCUUCAGCCUCAGUCCUGGCUCACAUCUGGGGAGUGAACCAGUGGUUGGAAGACCUCUCUCUAUCUCUGUCUUACCCCUCUCUGUAACUCUGCCUCUCAAGUCAAUAAAUAAAUCUUACAAAA